rnacentral:rRNA from 1 species
AUUGAACGCUGGCGGCAGGCCUAACACAUGCAAGUCGAACGAGUGGCGGACGGGUGAGUAAUGUAUCGGAAAGUGCCCAGUAGAGGGGGAUAACUACGCGAAAGGGUAGCUAAUACCGCAUACCAUCAGAGCUGCCGAGAUGGGAUUAGCUAGUUGGUGGGGUAAUGGCUCACCAAGGCGACGAUCCGUAGCUGGUCUGAGAGGAUGACCAGCCACACUGGAACUGAGACACGGCCCAGACUCCUACGGGAGGCAGCAGUGGGGAAUAUUGGACAAUGGGCGAAAGCCUGAUGCAGCCAUGCCGCGUGUGUGAAGAAGGCCUUCGGGUUGUAAAGCACUUUUGGCAGGGAGGCGGUACUCGCAGAAGAAGCACCGGCUAACUACGUGCCAGCAGCCGCGGUAAUUC